rnacentral:tRNA from 1 species
GUUUUAAUAGUUUAAUAUAAAACAUUGGCCUUGUAAGCCAAAAAUACUGCACUGUUUAGAACA